UACGUAGGGUGCAAGCGUUGUCCGGAAUUAUUGGGCGUAAAGAGCUCGUAGGCGGCUAGUCGCGUCGGCUGUGAAAACCUGGGGCUCAACCCCGGGCCUGCAGACGAUACGGGCUAGCUAGAAUUCGGUAGGGGAGACUGGAAUUCCUGGUGUAGCGGUGAAAUGCGCAGAUAUCAGGAGGAACACCGGUGGCGAAGGCGGCAUCCUGGACCGACAUUGACGCUGAACGGCGAAAGCUAGGGGAGCAAACGGG
rnacentral:rRNA from 1 species